GAUGUGGCUCAGUGGUAGAGCGCUUACCUAGCAUGCAUGAGGUCCUGGAUUCAAUUCCCAGCACG
rnacentral:tRNA from 1 species